rnacentral:rRNA from 1 species
UGGGAAUAUUGCACAAUGGGCGCAAGCCUGAUGCAGCCAUGCCGCGUGUGUGAAGAAGGCCUUCGGGUUGUAAAGCACUUUCAGCGAGGAGGAAGGUGGUGGACUUAAUACGUUCAUCAAUUGACGUUACUCGCAGAAGAAGCACCGGCUAACUCCGUGCCAGCAGCCGCGGUAAUACGGAGGGUGCAAGCGUUAAUCGGAAUUACUGGGCGUAAAGCGCACGCAGGCGGUUUGUUAAGUCAGAUGUGAAAUCCCCGGGCUCAACCUGGGAACUGCAUUUGAAACUGGCAAGCUAGAGUCUCGUAGAGGGGGGUAGAAUUCCAGGUGUAGCGGUGAAAUGCGUAGAGAUCUGGAGGAAUACCGGUGGCGAAGGCGGCCCCCUGGACGAAGACUGACGCUCAGGUGCGAAAGCGUGGGGAGCAAAACAGGAUUAGAUACCCUGGUAGUCCACGCUGUAAAACGAUGUCGAUUUUGGA